GUUCUGUGGUGAUGAAUUUUGAAAUUCUUCACAUGUCAGACUUCAGAGAUUUCUCUGGAAAUCCAUGAGAAGAGAAUUCAUUUCUGAGCAGUAG